GAACUUCGGCUCGAACAUCCAACCUAGGUUUGAUAUAACACAACCUGUGUGUUUGGUACCAUCAAGACAAAAAUAACACUGAUCGAGCAAAACUUAUCUUGUCUCGGUUUCUUUGUUGUCUCUGAAGAUUUGACUGCCAUAAAAAAUAUUAAUCGAGAUUCUUUUGUUAUGUUAAUUUAAAGCUUUGUAAUAUUGUCUCGUUUAAUAUGCUUAAAUGUCACUGCAGCCCACGUGAAUUUAUCUUCAAGAAAAGGUUUGUUUUUCUUUGUCCAAGUUGUUUCGAAACUUGUUAACAGUAAGUAGAAGGAUUACUUAUAUUUUAUAUGAAAUUAAACUCAGAACGGUUUAUGGCGUUGAUCCAAAGGCCGCAAUUUAUAAAUGCAUCACAAUUUAAAGUCAAUCAAGAACAGAACAUUCCGUGUAUGGCCAUGACUAAAACUGCUUGCAUUUUGUUGGUCUUCCCUUCCCGAUGGUCUGGCUUGUCGUAAUAGCUUUAAUGAUGUAGCUAGGGAGCUAAAUACUUAUUUUUAAAUUCUUGCAUUUUAUAAGUUAAUAGUCGUAAAACUACUCUCACUUGUACUACAGCUAUCAAGCUAGAACUGCACAAAAUAGUGCUUUCAUUAGAGUCCCUUUUUUCAGAAGCAACAAAAAACUUUUAUCCUGCCCUGUGUAAUUUUAUCAACGAGGGUGCUGAUAAGCCACAUACACCGUAAAAAGUAUAGGCGUUUUGGGUGAGUAAAAUAACUUCUAAAGGAACCUUUGUGAGACUGCUAUCAUGUAUUCUUGCGGUCAGAAUGUUCUCCUUCGUUGCUAUCCGAUGGAGAACAAAGUGGACUUUUCACGGUCAAACCUUCAAAGUAGCAACCUUACUUAAACAGAAUUUACAAGUAAAACGUCGUUAAAAUGUCGCAAAAUGGCAAAAAUUAAGCAGUAUCUAAAACAUAUUAAAGAUUUGACUAAAAAAAAAAGAAUUCCUUGAAAAAUCCAGUAUUGUAUUUAUGAAGAUUUCACCACAAAAACAUUAAUUACGGCAUUUGUACCCCAUUUCAUAAUGACUGCUUAACCGGAAUACUGGCCCGUGAUUGGUUGACACGAAUCCGACCGCAAGAAUAUAUAUAAAAAGAUAUUUGUUGAAUCAUGAAAAAAUAUUGUUGUUCAUUGCCCGGAACAGUCAAGUUGAACUGAUAAAUUAACCAAUAACAUAACAUAGUUAGCCCUUGCAGUACAACUAGACGCUACCCACAGUAUGUUACAGGUUUCUUUGUUUUCUUCCCUUUUUCAUGUUUUUUCUUGAAAUUAUAAAUGAUGUUGUUGAUUUAUCAAAUCUGAAAAAUUUAUUAAUUGAGUGUCUACUCUUUUUUGUAUCAACUUGUUGAAUUCAAUUCGAAAACAAUGACCAAUCAAUUUCCUCGAUAAUAAACAAUCAAAUUUGUAAAAUUCAAUAAUUGGAUUUCGACAAAAUAAGUCCUGUAUUGUCCACAGGUUUGAAAAUCUUGUAUCGCCUGCUUAAUAUUAUACUUGUUUAACAAUGAUAUCAAAGCCAGCUUGACUAAAUUUAUAUAUAUAUUUUUAUUUAUAUAGUAUACCUUUUGUAUAUCACAUGGCAUUGAUUUGUAUCUUUUUAAUAAAUUCUAACUUUAAAUCAGAUAAGUCGACAAUAAUUAAACAACCUAGUAUUAAUUCAGUUCUGGUAAAAUUGUAUUCUUCUUUCUCAAUUUUAAAUAUACUUUCUUUUUCAGAUCAUUUGUUAUCAAACCAUGCACCAUCAGCAUUUUCGAAAAAUCUUCAACGAGAGAAAUUUUUUAAGGAUUUUAUUGGUAACUUAACACAGUAAUAAUUCAUUAAAAUUUAAAUUGUUCAGAAGUUAUUAUAUAUAUUCGAAUCAUGAAGUUCAUACAUAGCAAUCCUGCAUCCUGGAAUUUUCGAGAUCAGUUAUAAAAAAAUCCAGUUAAAGUUUUAACUAUUGUUUUAGAAUAUAUACUAUAUAUAUGUAAAAAAAAAUUUAUUUUUUAUUUAUCAAGUUGUAUUUUACGUUAAUUACAAUAAUAAUUGAGAAUUAGGAUACUUAUGAUGUGUUUAUAUACCCCAUUGUUCUCCGUUUUAAAGUCUACUUCAAAUUUCAGAAUCUUUUAGGCUAAUGACGGAAAUCUUCAAGUCGCAGGGCUUUUUAUUUAAAAAUUUUCCCCUGGGCAAUAAGCUUAUUCACAAGCCUCUAUGCAAUUCCGUACUGCAUUUCUAUCAUAUUCGUCAUAUUUGGCGGAAAAUGUUUCAGCAGAAUAGCUUUCAGACACAAUUUGUUAUUACAGCACAAGAAUUUUUGGAGAUUUGAUAAGUCAAAAAUAAGUGUACAUAUAUUUAAUCAAGAUCUAACUUUAUAGAUAGAGCCUUAGCCAAAUGUGAAAAUAACGAAAAUAAUAAGUUCUAACACUGCAGUUUUUAUAGAUUUCAAACGUCCACCAUUUUCCAUUUUAAUUUUAAAUCCCGUUCUAAAUUUGAAUGUUUGAAAUCGUUAUUUGUAAUUCGGGGCGCAUUAGUGGUAACUAUGGCUAGUUUUAUGUAUGGGAGAAGUUUUUUUCUUACUCUCAACUUCGCGGGGGAACUUCGGCUCGAACAUCCAACCUAGGUUUGAUAUAACACAACCUGUGUGUUUGGUACCAUCAAGACAAAAAUAACACUGAUCGAGCAAAACUUAUCUUGUCUCGGUUUCUUUGUUGUCUCUGAAGAUUUGACUGCCAUAAAAAAUAUUAAUCGAGAUUCUUUUGUUAUGUUAAUUUAAAGCUUUGUAAUAUUGUCUCGUUUAAUAUGCUUAAAUGUCACUGCAGCCCACGUGAAUUUAUCUUCAAGAAAAGAUCAUUUGUUAUCAAACCAUGCACCAUCAGCAUUUUCGAAAAAUCUUCAACGAGAGAAAUUUUUAAGGAUUUUAUUGGUAACUUAACGGAGUAAUAAUUCAUUGAAAUUGAAAUAGUUCAGAAGUUAUUAUAUAUAUUCAAAUCGUGAAUUUCAUACAUAGCAAUCCUGCAUCCUGGAAUUUUCGAGAUCAGUUAUAAAAAAAUCCAGUUAAAGUUUUAACUAUUGUUUUAGAAUAUAUACUAUAUAUAUGUAAAAAAAAAUUUAUUUUUUAUUUAUCAAGUUGUAUUUUACGUUAAUUACAAUAAUAAUUGAGAAUUAGGAUACUUAUGAUGUGUUUAUAUACCCCAUUGUUCUCCGUUUUAAAGUCUACUUCAAAUUUCAGAAUCUUUCAGGCUAAUGACGGAAAUCUUCAAGUCGCAGGGCUUUUUAUUUAAAAAUUUUCCCCUGGGCAAUAAGCUUAUUCACAAGCCUCUAUGCAAUUCCGUACUGCAUUUCUAUCAUAUUCGUCAUAUUUGGCGGAAAAUGUUUCAGCAGAAUAGCUUUCAGACACAAUUUGUUAUUACAGCACAAGAAUUUUUGGAGAUUUGAUAAGUCAAAAAUGUAUGUGUAAGUCUUUUGAACGAAUUUUAACCAAAAAUCAAAAGCAAUGAUUACGUGAAAUUACACAACAAGAAGGCUAGAGGCGUUUAAAGUGUACAUAUAUUUAAUCAAGAUCUAACUUUAUAGAUAGAGCUUUGGCCAAAUGUGAAAAUAACGAAAAUAAUAAGUUCUAACACUGCAGUUUUAUAGAUUUCAAACGUCCACCAUUUUCCAUUUUAAUUUUAAAUCCCGUUCUAAAUUUGAAUGUUUGAAAUCGUUAUUAGUAAUUCGGGGCGCAUUAGUGGUAACUAUGGCUAGUUUUAAAUCCCGUUCUAAAUUUGAAUGUUUGAAAUCGUUAACUUCGGCUCGAACAUCCAACCUAGGUUUGAUAUAACACAACCUGUGUGUUUGGUACCAUCAAGACAAAAAUAACACUGAUCGAGCAAAACUUAUCUUGUCUCGGUCUCUUUGUUGUCUCUGAAGAUUUGACUGCCUUAAAAAAUAUUAAUCGAGAUUCUUUUGUUAUGUUAAUUUAAAGCUUUGUAAUAUUGUCUCGUUUAAUAUGCUUAAAUGUCACUGCAGCCCACGUGAAUUUAUCUUCAAGAAAAGGUUUGUUUUUCUUUGUCCAAGUUGUUUCGAAACUUGUUAACAGUAAGUAGAAGGAUUACUUAUAUUUUAUAUGAAAUUAAACUCAGAACGGUUUAUGGCGUUGAUCCAAAGGCCGCAAUUUAUAAAUGCAUCACAAUUUAAAGUCAAUCAAGAACAGAACAUUCCGUGUAUGGCCAUGACUAAAACUGCUUGCAUUUUGUUGGUCUUCCCUUCCCGAUGGUCUGGCUUGUCGUAAUAGCUUUAAUGAUGUAGCUAGGGAGCUAAAUACUUAUUUUUAAAUUCUUGCAUUUUAUAAGUUAAUAGUCGUAAAACUACUCUCACUUGUACUACAGCUAUCAAGCUAGAACUGCACAAAAUAGUGCUUUCAUUAGAGUCCCUUUUUUCAGAAGCAACAAAAAACUUUUAUCCUGCCCUGUGUAAUUUUAUCAACGAGGGUGCUGAUAAGCCACAUACACCGUAAAAAGUAUAGGCGUUUUGGGUGAGUAAAAUAACUUCUAAAGGAACCUUUGUGAGACUGCUAUCAUGUAUUCUUGCGGUCAGAAUGUUCUCCUUCGUUGCUAUCCGAUGGAGAACAAAGUGGACUUUUCACGGUCAAACCUUCAAAGUAGCAACCUUACUUAAACAGAAUUUACAAGUAAAACGUCGUUAAAAUGUCGCAAAAUGGCAAAAAUUAAGCAGUAUCUAAAACAUAUUAAAGAUUUGACUAAAAAAAAAAGAAUUCCUUGAAAAAUCCAGUAUUGUAUUUAUGAAGAUUUCACCACAAAAACAUUAAUUACGGCAUUUGUACCCCAUUUCAUAAUGGCUGCCCGUGAUUGGUUGACACGAAUCAGACCGCAAGAAUAUAUAUAAAAAGUUAUUUGUUGAAUCAUGAAAAAAUAUUGUUGUUCAUUGCACGGAACAGUCAAGUUGAACUGAUAAAUUAACCAAUAACAUAACAUAGUUAGCCCUUGCAGUACAACUAGACGCUACCCACAGUAUGUUACAGGUUUCUUUGUUUUCUUCCUUUUUUAUGUUUUUUCUUGAAAUUAUAAAUGAUGUUGUUGAUUUAUCAAAUCUGACAAAUUUAUUAAUUGAGUGUCUACCCUUUUUUGUAUCAACUUGUUCAAUUUAAUUCGAAAACAAUGACCAAUCAAUUUCCUCGAUAAUAAACAAUCAAAUUUGUAAAAUUCAAUAAAUUGAUUUCAACAAAAUAAGUCCUGUAUUGUCCACAGGUUUGAAAAUCUUGUAUCGCCUGCUUAAUAUUAUACUUGUUUAACAAUGAUAUCAAAGCCAGCUUGACUAAAUUUAUAUAUAUAUUUUUAUUUAUAUAGUAUACCUUUUGUGUAUCACAUGGCAUUGAUUUGUAUCUUUUUAAUAAAUUCUAACUUUAAAUCAGAUAAGUAGACAAUAAUUAAACAACCUAGUAUUAAUUCAGUUCUGGUAAAAUUGUAUUCUUCUUUCUCAAUUUUAAAUAUACUUUCUUUUUCAGAUCAUUUGUUAUGAAACCAUGCACCAUCAGCAUUUUCGAAAAAUCUUCAACGAGAGAAAUUUUUAAGGAUUUUAUUGGUAACUUAACAGAGUAAUAAUUCAUUGAAAUUGAAAUUGUUCAGAAGUUAUUAUAUAUAUUCGAAUCGUGAAGUUCAUACAUAGCAAUCCUGCAUCCUGGAAUUUUCGAGAUCAGUUAUAAAAAAAUCCAGUUAAAGUUUUAACUAUUGUUUUAGAAUAUAUACUAUAUAUAUGUAAAAAAAAAAUUAUUUUUUAUUUAUCAAGUUGUAUUUUACGUUAAUUGCAAUAAUAAUUGAGAAUUAGGAUACUUAUGAUGUGUUUAUAUACCCCAUUGUUCUCCGUUUUAAAGUCUACUUCAAAUUUCAGAAUCUUUUAGGCUAAUGACGGAAAUCUUCAAGUCGCAGGGCUUCUUAUUUAAAAAUUUUCCCCUGGGCAAUAAGCUUAUUCACAAGCCUUUAUGCAAUUCCGUACUGCAUUUCUAUCAUAUUCGUCAUAUUUGGCGGAAAAUGUUUCAGCAGAAUAGCUUUCAGACACAAUUUGUUAUUACAGCACAAGAAUUUUUGGAGAUUUGAUAAGUCAAAAAUGUAUGCCUUUUGAACGAAGUCUUUUGAACGAAUUUUAACCAAAAAUCAAAAGCAAUGAUUACGUGAAAUUACACAACAAGAAGGCUAGAGGCGCUUAAAGUGUACAUAUAUUUAAUCAAGAUCUAACUUUAUAGAUAGAGCCUUAGCCAAAUGUGAAAAUAACGAAAAUAAUAAGUUCUAACACUGCAGUUUUUAUAGAUUUCAAACGUCCACCAUUUUCCAUUUUAAUUUUAAAUCCCGUUCUAAAUUUAAAUGUUUGAAAUCGUUAUUAGUAAUUCGGGGCGCAUUAGUGGUAACUAUGGCUAGUUUUAGUUUUAUCCAGCGAAAAGGCAGAUGAUAAUGUUAUACAUCCAAUAAUAAACUUUUUGCGAAGCAAUUGAGCUUCGCAAGCGAAUCGAAAUUGUGGAGCACGUUUGCUACGCGAAGUAUACCAAGAGAAUUAUUGAGAUUCUCAAAAUUUCGAUAGAAAAAAAAUCAUAUAAAAUCAGCUUAAGGAGAUAUGACUGAUAUUUUUUCUCGAAAAGGCAGGUUAUUUUUUUGUCUAAUAGAACAAAUAAGUUUGGACCAAGCAGCUCUUAUAAAUGUUAGCUAAAAAUGCCAGUAAAUAGGCUUUGUACCCCCCUACCCCCCGUCUUUCGUACCCCCCCUUCGUUAUUUCCCGAUUUUCCGUUUGCCGGAAGCGAAAGACUGGGAAGUAAACUCAAGCAAUCAGAAAACGGCUAUCGGCUAAAUUGAAUUAUCGUGUAUUUUACAGACCUAAGACAAAUACAUAGUUUAUACCAAGUCCUGAUAAUAAUUGGCUUAGCUGGCAUGCUAUUUCUCUUAAUAUUUGCACUUGGAAAGCUUGUAUUUACCUUUUGAAGGCACAUUAUAUUAAUUUGAACGUUUAAUGCGCAAAAACGUGUUAUAUUUAUGGCUUCAUUAAAAAGAAGAUUUUAAAGUACCAUAUUAUCAGCUUGAAUUGGCAUGUUUGUGGUAUUCUUUUCAUACAGCAGAAGAAAAGUGAGUUGCGAAGAUUGCGUACAAUGAGCGAGAGAUGUUAUCUUUCAAUAUGUGAGAUAAAAAGAAGAAAGCGAAACCUCAUCCCGCGUUGUUAUUGUUUUUCUGUCAAAAACUUGAAGCUGUUUUAUAAAUCUUGAUAAAGUUAAUAAAUUGUUUUCGUUUUUAUA